rnacentral:rRNA from 1 species
ACUUAAAUUGAAGAGUUUGAUCAUGGCUCAGAUUGAACGCUGGCGGCAGGCCUAACACAUGCAAGUCGAGCGGUAGCACAGAGAGCUUGCUCUCGGGUGACGAGCGGCGGACGGGUGAGUAAUGUCUGGGAAACUGCCUGAUGGAGGGGGAUAACUACUGGAAACGGUAGCUAAUACCGCAUAAUGUCGCAAGACCAAAGUGGGGGACCUUCGGGCCUCAUGCCAUCAGAUGUGCCCAGAUGGGAUUAGCUUGUAGGUGGGGUAACGGCUCACCUAGGCGACGAUCCCUAGCUGGUCUGAGAGGAUGACCAGCCACACUGGAACUGAGACACGGUCCAGACUCCUACGGGAGGCAGCAGUGGGGAAUAUUGCACAAUGGGCGCAAGCCUGAUGCAGCCAUGCCGCGUGUGUGAAGAAGGCCUUCGGGUUGUAAAGCACUUUCAGCGGGGAGGAAGGCG